GCUCCAGUAGCUCAGUUGGAUAGAGCAACUGCCUUCUAAGCAGUCGGUCGAAGGUUCGAGUCCUUCCUGGGGCG
rnacentral:tRNA from 1 species